rnacentral:snRNA from 1 species
GUGCUUGCUUCGGCAGCACAUAUACUAAAAUUGGACAAAGAAGAUUAGCAUGGCUCCUGCGCAAGGAUGAUACGCAAAUUCGUGAAGCGUUCCAUAUUUAA